rnacentral:lncRNA from 1 species
UGGGUACCCAGGGGGCCUCACAGCUGUGAUCUACACAGAUGCUCUACAGACCGUGAUCAUGGUUGGGGGAGCCCUGGUCCUCAUGUUUCUGGGCUUUCGGGAGGUCGGCUGGUACCCAGGCUUGCAGCAGCUCUAUAGACAGUCCAUCCCCAAUGUCACAGUUCCCAACACUACCUGUCACCUCCCACGGUCUGAUGCCUUCCACAUGCUUCGAGAUCCUGUGAACGGGGACAUCCCCUGGCCAGGUCUUAUUUUUGGCCUCACAGUCUUGGCCACCUGGUGUUGGUGCACGGACCAGGUGAUUGUGCAGAGGUCUCUCUCGGCCAAGAGUCUUUCACAUGCCAAGGGAGGAUCAGUGUUAGGGGGCUACCUAAAGAUCCUCCCAAUGUUCUUCAUUGUCAUGCCCGGCAUGAUCAGCAGGGCCCUGUACCCAGAUGAAGUCGCCUGUGU